rnacentral:rRNA from 1 species
UACAGAGGUGGCAAGCGUUGUUCGGAAUUACUGGGCGUAAGCGCGUGUAGGCUGCUUCGCAAGUCGGAUGUGAAAGCCCUGGGCUCAACCCAGGAAGUGCAUUCGAAACUGCAGAGCUGGAGUCCUGGAGAGGAAGGCGGAAUUCUCGGUGUAGAGGUGAAAUUCGUAGAUAUCGAGAGGAACACCGGUGGCGAAGGCGGCCUUCUGGACAGUUCCAUGACGGCUGAGGCACGAAGGCCAGGGAGCAAACGGG